UACAGAGGGGGCAAGCGUUGUUCGGAAUUACUGGGCGUAAAGGGCGCGUAGGCGGCCUUCUAAGUCGAACGUGAAAUCCCUCGGCUUAACCGAGGAACUGCGUCCGAUACUGAAAGGCUUGAAUCCGGGAGAGGGAUGUGGAAUUCCAGGUGUAGCGGUGAAAUGCGUAGAUAUCUGGAGGAACGCCGGUGGCGAAGGCGGCAUCCUGGACCGGCAUUGACGCUGAGGCGCGAAAGCUAGGGGAGCAAACGGG
rnacentral:rRNA from 1 species